CAACAAUUCAAUACUACAUAGAAAUAAAAUAAAGAAAACAGAGUAUCAGUGAGAUAGCUAAAGAAAAGGAAAAUCACACACAACACUUUGUCUGCUAUUAGACACAAACAAGAUAGAAGAGAGAGAAACUGUAAAGAAAGAAAACCCAAGAAGAAGAAGAACAAGAGGGUUUCAAGAUCUGGUCAGAUCAAGUCAAGCUACAUAAACCUCUGUUUGCAUUUGUUUGGUAUCAAGAGAAUUGAAGACAUGGAUCAGUGAAGUGUUUACGUGUGGCUGCUUUGUUCUUUCGAUGAUUUCUAUGAGACACGUAUCGAUUCAGUUUUUGAGGAGGAUGCACGAGUGAGAAACGAAGAGGGAAUGCGAGAUUUGUGGAUACUUGAUUACAUAUGUUACGACGUCUUGGGUGGUUAAUCGGUUUGAUUAUUAGAAGUCUACAAGCGAAGAAGUUACCAGAUGCAAAGCCUCACCCGGCUGAAGUACAGCCGGUAGUAAUGUUGGAUAGUGUCCUGAAGCAUGGCCACGGACAUAUAAUACGGACAUUUUUUUUCUUUCUUACACAGCAUUAACUAUUUUUUUUUCUUACAUAGCAUUAACUAUUUCUUCCCCAUUUACCACUUUUUUCCCUUCUCAUUUACCAUCCUUACCUUUGCUCUGUAUUUCAUUCUCUGCAAAAAAAAAAAAAAAAACCAGCAUCAUCAUCUUCAUAUAAGUGAAUCAGGCCAAAGUAAAGUCCGGGAGUGUCCUUUUUUGACACUCUUCAAGGCGUGUCCUGUACGUAUCCGGCCGUGUCGGACACCAGUACGACACUGGUACGAGGGGAUUUUCCCCGUGUCUGUGCUUCCUAGUGUCCAGGAGAUUGCAAUUUACAUCCAUAGGUUUCAUAACCUUGAUCUUUUCCAGCAAGGAUGGUAUCAACUGAAGCUUACUGUUAGAUGGGACACUGAUGAGUACGCUCCCGUAAGAACACCUGCAAGAGUCGUCCAAUACGAAGGUAAUUUGGUGAAAUUGUUGUUUUUUCUUCUAAUGCUUCCACUUCGUCAUAAGAUUAGAAAUCAAGUUAUUUUGAACUUAUAAACCUUUUGAAAUGUAGCUGCAUUCUGGCAUUUUAUAUUAAACUAGUCCCUCUAGAGACCUGAAUAGGAAUCUAGCGUGCAAUGUGUGUGCAUGAGAGCAAAGUUUAUUACCUUCUUGUGGAUCUAGUCUAUUCAUUGGACUGGUGGAAAUUGUAGGUUUUGGUUAGUAGAUUGUAUGAAUUUCAUGAGGCUUGAUAA